rnacentral:lncRNA from 1 species
UUCAUAAUGCAGAACUUCAGUCCUAUUCCAGAAGGCUCUCUUCUAGCAGAAUCUGCAGGGCAUUGAUUAUAUACCCGAUGAGCCAUAGAAUCAUCAAGACCCAGGCCAGCUCCACUCGGAGUUGCUCCAUACUCUGCAUGGUCCACUCUUCUAUCUCCUUCUGUUUCCCACUUAGGUAUUCGGAGCACCAUUCAGGCUGAUGCUCAUGCUGCUACUGAACUGCCCCAGACACUGGUGUCAUCUCCAUUACCUGAAGAGGACAAUGAAAUGUCUCCUUUAUCUUUAUCCUGCUUCUGUGUAGCAGAGUCUCAAAUGAAUACAGACUUCAGGGUCGUGGCUCUUUGAGAAUGUCACACAGCACUUUAUGCCCACAGCAUACAAUGCUUCCAGAAAGUCUAGGUCAAGGCAGCCGGACAGUACCAGGAGCCUCAGGCCCUGUCGCUGAAGCUGCCCCAUCGUGCCACACUUCACAACUUCCAAAGGUAGAGUUCUCUCUGAAAACUCACAAUCUUGCCAUCUGUCUCCAUUCUCAUAUCUCAAUCUAUUCAGCUUAUCAGUCUCCAUGUGCCACUUUCCCAUGAGGCAUUUCAACAUCCAUGUAAAUCAGAAGUGAUGCAUAAACUAGGUGUCAGGAGCAUAGGGGAGCACAAGGCAUUAUCUAUUUCUGUGAGCCAUGCUUAACAUACAGCUACUCAGUACCAAAGAACUCAGUCGCUACAAUAUAGAGAUAAUUACAAACAAAUGAGUGACAUCAACGAGAUCUAAGUUGUCAUAAAUACAAUUUCAUAUUUUUUUAUGAAUGAAAAAAUAUUUAUCUUUUUUCAAAAAUUCACUUGGAAAUUAUUUUCAUGAUAUAGUACCAUGAUCAUGAUUUUAUCAUACUCUCCAACAACAUCAAUAAGAAAAACCAGCUCAGGGCAGGCCCUGUGGCAUAGUGGUUAAGUCCAGCACACUCUGCUUUGGCAGCCCAGGUUCACAAUUUUGGAUCCUGGGCAUGGACCUACACCACUCGUCAAGCCACACUUUGGUGGUGAUCCACAUACAAAAUAGAUGAAGAUUAGCAAGGUGUUAGCUCAGAGUAAAUUUUCCUCAACGAAAAAAAGAAAAGAAGGCUCUCAAGCUCUGAAGCUUUUCCUAUACUCUGCUCUUCUCCCCCAAGGCCCUAACAUUCCACACACAUUCCAUGGUUGCCAGGAUGCUCUGCUUUAUUCAGCAUUACAUCACCAGAUGCUAGGAACAUAUCUGGAGUAGAGUGGACUUUUGUGACUCUGAAGUUUGGCCCAGUGUAGUCACAGUCGAUUGCUAGCAAUAUUCAGAUUGAAUCCAGAGAAGUCAACUGCAGAGUUCAAUCGCGCAAUUGUGAUGAUACAAACGUAGCCUCCUUUAUGUUAAGGAUGGCGAUAGUAGAUGGUCGUCUGAGGCGAUUGAGGCCUGCUCAUCACACUUGAGUGAGCUCGAAAGCUGACCCUUCAGUCCUGGUCAAGCCAGAUGAGAUGACUGCAGAGCUGGGAGACAGCUUGACUGCCGAGACCCUGGGCCAGAAUCACUCAGCUAGGUGGCUCUAGGAUACGGGAACUUCAGAACCUGCACGAGAUAAGAAGUAUAUUAACCUGCUAAAUUUUGAUGAAUUUGUUCACAGCAAUAAAUAACAUACAGCUAGAGACUGAACGAGAACUAUUUUCUUGGCCAUACUAGUUAAGAAUAAGUAAAAAAGAACUUGAAGACUGA